AUGAACGCUGGCGGCGUGCCUAAUACAUGCAAGUCGCGCGAACGGACGAGAAGCUUGCUUUUCUGAUGUUAGCGGCGGACGGGUGAGUAACACGUGGAUAACCUACCUAUAAGACUGGGAUAACUUCGGGAAACCGGAGCUAAUACCGGAUAAUAUUUUGAACCGCAUGGUUCAUAAGUGAAAGACGGUCUUGCUGUCACUUAUAGAUGGAUCCGCGCUGCAUUAGCUAGUUGGUAAGGUAACGGCUUACCAAGGCAACGAUGCAUAGCCGACCUGAGAGGGUGAUCGGCCACACUGGAACUGAGACACGGUCCAGACUCCUACGGGAGGCAGCAGUAGGGAAUCUUCCGCAAUGGGCGAAAGCCUGACGGAGCAACGCCGCGUGAGUGAUGAAGGUCUUCGGAUCGUAAAACUCUGUUAUUAGGGAAGAACAUAUGUGUAAGUAACUGUGCACAUCUUGACGGUACCUAAUCAGAAAGCCACGGCUAACUACGUG
rnacentral:rRNA from 1 species